rnacentral:lncRNA from 1 species
GCUGCAAGGAAAUCUGGCGCGGUUCAAUACCUCGUCUAGCCUGGGUUCCAGUAUCUAAUUUUUUUUUUGUUUUAACUGACAAACUCAUUUCUCUACUGGGACAGGAUGCUGUGCUGGCUGGAAGUUCCAUUUCUACAGCAAGAAUCCUAUCUGGAAACACAGAAGUUGUCCUCUAGCCACAGCAGCUCGAACUUUUUUGAUUGUCGUUGCUGCUUUCUCCCAUCACCCCCAUCCCCUUUUGACAAAGAUCCAACUGUAAAAAGUCUUACGUAACAGUUCAGGACUACUUCGGUUCUUUUACUGGGUAAGCACUUUCAAUUUUUUUUUUUUAACUAAAAGCCAUUUUAAAAUU